rnacentral:rRNA from 1 species
AACGAACGCUGGCGGCAGGCCUAACACAUGCAAGUCGAACGCCCUAGCAAUAGGGAGUGGCAGACGGGUGAGUAACGCGUGGGAACCUUCCCAUUGGUACGGAAUAGCCCAGGGAAACUUGGAGUAAUACCGUAUAAGCCCGAAAGGGGAAAGAUUUAUCGCCGAUGGAUGGGCCCGCGUAGGAUUAGCUAGUUGGUGAGGUAAUGGCUCACCAAGGCGACGAUCCUUAGCUGGUCUGAGAGGACGAUUAGCCACACUGGGACUGAGACACGGCCCAGACUCCUACGGGAGGCAGCAGUGGGGAAUAUUGGACAAUGGGCGCAAGCCUGAUCCAGCCAUGCCGCGUGAGUGACGAAGGCCUUAGGGUUGUAAAGCUCUUUUGGCGGGGACGAUAAUGACGGUACCCGCAGAAUAAGCCCCGGCUAACUUCGUGCCAGCAGCCGCCGCCGUAA